CACAAGAUUUGAUUGUACUAAUGCAUAUUCUUCUAUUUCAGAGUAUGCGGUUGAAAUUGAUUGCAAAUAAUACAACAGUGGAACGGAGGUUUAGCUCAUGGAUUGGCGGCUCCAUUCUAGCCUCUUUGGGUACCUUUCAACAGAUGUGGAUUUCCAAGCAAGAAUAUGAAGAAGGAGGGAAGCAGUGUGUAGAAAGAAAAUGCCCUUGAGAAAGAGUUCCCAAGCUUCUACCUUCCUUUUGUCACCUUACGUUUCAUAGCUUUAGUAUACUCAGGAAAAGAAUGACCAUCUUUUGUAGAAUGUUUAUACAUUUUUGCAUAUUUCAAUUUCCACUUAAAUUUUUUAAAGCUUUAACUGGC
rnacentral:lncRNA from 1 species